CAAGUCUGUACGAACAUUUUUAUGAUUUCUUAUUCUACUAUUCUACUUUAGUUUUCCAUAUUUAUCUCUUUAAACAAUUUAAUAUUAGUUUUAGGAAUUCUGAGUCUGAUAAUUUUAAUGACUGACAUCUUUGUUGAUCUCAUUGGGAUUCUUUCAAUUAAGGUGUUUUGUUUCUUUAUUGCAUACACAAUUCCUAUCCUAUGAACUGAUGAUUUUGACAUCUUGGUUAAGGAUGUGAAUUUCUUCAGAGGAGACUAUGUUUUCUUCUGCCAUGUGCCUCGGGUCACGAUCAGCUUAGUACUUCUCUAAAAUAAAUUUUCUUUUUAAAUUAUUUCAGUUUAGGCCGGCGCCAUGGCUCACUUGGCUAAUCCUCCGCCUGCGGUGCCGGCACCCUGGGUUUUAGUCCCGGUUGGGGUGCCAGUACUAGUCCCGGUUGCUCCUCUUCCAGUCCAGCUCUCUGCUAUGGCCCAGGAGGGCAGUGGAGGAUGACCCAAGUGCUUGGGCCUUACACCCGCAUUGGAGACCAGGAGGAAGCACCUGGCUCCUGCCUUCGGAUCGGCGCAGCGCGUAGCGGCUAUUAGGGGAGUGAACCAAGUAAAGGAAGACCUUUCAUUUGUCUCUCUCUCUCACUCACUAACUAUAACUUUACCUGUCAAAUAAAAAAAAAAUUAUUUUAGUUUAAGUAACAAACAUAAAUUCAGAUAGUGAACACUGAUAAAGACUAAAUAGACUUUUUGAGACCUACUUUCGUUCUUCUUACUCUUCAUCCUUCUUGUUUUUCUUUUUUUACCUCAAGAUAUGGAAAGAGCGGUGGAGAUCCCCAGUAGGAAUUCGUGUCUGCAUGUCGAAUUAGUUACCCCAUAUUGGUUACACUCUGGGUUUUCUCUUGUUUAUGCUCCAUGGGACUUUGAAAACCAAAUUCAGAGUUACUGAGUGUUGAAAACUGACCUGAACUCAAAAGCUAGCUUUGGUAGCACUGCUCUCUAUCUCUGUCUGGUCUCAUUUUGAAUUUGGCAAUGAAGAUGCAGACUCUAGCAACUAAUGUCUGGAUGUUUUCUUUAGCAAGCUCAUCUGGAAUGGAUGGAGAAGGCAGUUCACCGUGCUUCCAAAAGGAAAAUGGGAAUGGCAAGAAAUUCAUGAUGAAUGUAAUUAAAAAAAAAAAAAAAAACUAGGAGGUUUAAAAUAUAGAAACCCACUUUAUUUGGAAUUUUAGAAGAUUUUAAAAGUGGAAAAUUUUGUAUUACUUGGGGAAAGAUUAACAAACUAAAUCCAUAUAGUUUGUGCUGGAAAAAGCAGUGGUUUUGUGCAACUAAAAAGAAAAUGUCAAUUGAGAUCCAGGGAUGAUUGCUAAUAUAAAAUCAGCAGAGUUGCUAUUGCUUUUCUGUUGUCAUUGCUGCUGCUGCUGUUAUUGUUAUUUAACUACAGAAAAAUGCAGGACCAGGCGCGAAACUUGAAACAUUAUCAAUUAAAUUUUCUCAUUAGCUAUAUUUGGUUCCUUAAUUGGCCUUUUUGACUGUGUAAUUUCAAGUGAUAAUUAUUUGUGGCACUAGCCCAUUCCUAUAUCAGUGUUAUCUCUUAAUUAAUUCAAGAAAUUGACUUAACAUUUUUUUCCAUCUUCAGACAGAGAAGCAAUUUGUGAGUUACCAUUCUUAGACAGCACAGUCAGCAGCACUUUGAAAAAUGACAGCAAGAAAGUCCAAUCUCACUGACUUAAGCCACAAUAGCAUUGAUGAUAAUCUUGGAGAGCCUUGCUAAGGAAGAAUUGUACACAUUUGCUGUGAAACAGAACAACAUGGAAUUAUAGACUAGAGGAUGAGAGAAACAUGACAAAAAUAGAGAAGAUAUUAAUUCAUUUUCAGGAGAAGCUUCGCCCAUCUCAAGCAAUACAGAAUUGUACUUGGCUAAAGCAUUGUGUUUUCGCUGAAUAUUUUGGUUUCAGCAGAAAGCUAGCAGUGAUUGCUUUGCAACCUGGUGUUUUCCACCGAGUGGCUGUAAGCAGCAUAAGGAGGAAGCAAUGUUUCAGUGCCAAUAAUUUUCCUAACUUGAAGACGAAUUUCUCCUCCUCAAAGAAAAAGGGAAACUAUUAAGGAGAAAAAAAAUAUGGUCAUCCAGGAAAGAACUCAGAAGUUGCAAUUCAGUCGCCAUAACUUUCAGCUUUAUCUCAGAAGCUACUUCCUUUACUAAAAGGACCACAAGGACCCCCUCCCCCAAUCUUUCCCAAUUCAUGACUCAGAGUUCUGUUCUUUUUUUUUUUUCUUUAUAUAAAGGGAACAAAUGUCAUGUAUUUCAUAUAUACACUUUCAAGGGCAUAAUGCUACUUCCCACCACCCCCAUCAUCCUUCCCACCCUCCCACAUCCUCCUAUUUUUCUUUUAAUUUUUACAAUGACAUAUUUUCAAUUUACUUUAUAAUCACAAGCUUAACCCUCCAUUAAAUAAAGAAUCCAUCAAACAGUAAGUAGAGCAAACUUUGCUCCUCAAAUUUAUAGACAAGGGUUAUAAACAAUAAUCAAAUCUCAAUCUUCCUCAACAAAAUGAAUGCAACUGGAGACCAUUCUGUUUAGUGAAAUAAGCCAGUCCUCAGAAGAUAAAUAUAUGUUUUUCUCUAUUUGUGUUAACUAAUAUACAGAACACAAAAAGAUGUAAUAUAUAUGAGCAAAAUUGACACUUUUCUUUUUUUAAAAAAAUAUUUAUUUUUAUUUAUUUGAAAGCAGAGAUGCAGAGAGAGAAAGAGAGAAAGAUCUCCCAUCUGCUGGGUUACUCCCCAAAUGGAUGGAAUGAUUAAAGCUGGACCAGACCAAAGCCAGGAGCCAGGUGUUCCAUACAGGUCUCCCAUGUGGGUGGCAGAGGCCCAGCAUCUUUUGCUGCUUUUCUAGGCUCACUAGCAGGGGCCGGAUGGGAAAUGGAGCAGCCAGGACUCGAACUGGCACCCAUAUGAGAUGGUGACACUGCAGAUGGCAGCUUAACCUUCUAGGCCACAGGCGCUGGUACCAACACUUCUCUUGUAUCCACUCUUUGAGUUCCUUUAUGGGCCACCCAGUACCAUUAGGGACACAACUGUUUAUGCAGAUGCUAAAUUUGCUGUAGUGAAGGAUGUACCUAUGAAUUUCUCAAAGAAGUAUUGUGGGGAGUUGUGCUUCAGACCUACUUAUUCUGGUCAAAGAAGUCCUGGUUGCUGCAGACUAUCCAGAAAAAGAUGUCCUCUGGGCAUACGGGGAAUCAAGAAUACCCCCUAUCCCCUCUGCUGUCUGCUCAACCUAGAUCAUGGAAUAAUAAAUAAGAAAAAGUUCAUACAUAAUACUAAUGAAAUCAGAAAAGACCCCCUAAAAUUUACCCUGAAAUGUGGCCCCUUAAAGUUCCAUAGAAAUGCUAAACGGGUUGCCACAUGCGCUACCGGAAUUUGGGGUGCCUUAAGAUUUCACCAUGGACUUAUUACUAAAUCCCCAAUAUUAAUAAGCCCGAGAGGGUUCUUGCCUAAUAUUUAGAGAAGAAUUCUAAAUACCGGCACAGAUAAACAAGGCAGCAUGGUACAUUUUAAGCUUUUAUUUAGUAAGAAAGAUGCAUAAGAGAGUGAGAGCUUUAUUUAGGGGAGAGAAGUGAAUAGGGGUUCAUACCAAGCACCAGGAACCAGCCAUGUGGAAGAGCAUCUAGGCCAGGAAGCCUAGAGCACAUGGCCCGAAGGCAGGGGCUACAGCAAGACCUGUCCUGGCAAGAGGCCAGGGAAGAAGAACUGGGCCUGGGCACACUGUGCCCUAGGCUUUUAACCCACUCCAAAAGGGAGUGGUUAAUUAACCUGAUUGGCUGGUGGGCACCCAGGUGUGGCCAGGUAGGGGAAUGAGGCCACACAGGGACGUGGUCUUCCAGUUCACAAAUCUGACCUAUUUUAACCUGUAUGCCUGCCUACUUCACUAACAUCAUGCAUAAGAUAUAUUUUAGACACAUUUCAUAAAAUCAUGAGUAGAAUAAAAAUUAAGACUGAAUGGGAAUAAAGUUUCAGUAUAGUAAGGAAAAAUUAUGUGUACUUACUGGAAAACAAAGACUGAACUUAACCAUUAUUAACACAAGAAGCAAUUUGAUAUGAAGAACAAUACAACACAAUCAAUGGAAAUAUUAUUAAUUAAAAUAUAGAGCUUAGAAAGUAGAUGUUGGCAAAAUAAGAAUAGAGUAAAUUCAUUUUAGCCACUCAGUUUUAAUUCCCAUAAAUACAUUUUCACACAAAACUUGAAGGACCAAUAUGAAGACUAUUUGCCUACAUGAAAAUGUUGUUUUUUGGUUCUAAGAUUGAAUAUUGUCAUUAUAUAAAUUAGAUUUCCCACAUAUAAAUUUAUAAAUUGUACUCAAUUUUAAUCCAAGAAAUUUUCUUGUUCUUGAACCUGAAUACAAUUCUAAUGUUUAGCCUGAAUUACACAGUUUAUAACAGCCAAACAAAUUUUGAAAAAAUACUAGUAAAUGUUUUAAAAUUCUAUAUAAAAUGUAUCUUUUCAAAGAUUUAGCUCAGUAGAACAAAAUGACGCAAGAAUAGAUAAACUAAUACAGAGAAAAUAAAUAAAAACCAUUACAUACAUAUGUACUUUACACACUUAUAGGAAUACUAAUCAGACUGGUCUAAUGUUUGCCUCAGCUUGACCGGAGACAGGCAUUUUUCCGACUCUAGGCCCUUGACCUCCCUUUUCUUAGAGUGAUUUGUAAAUUCUUUCUCUGCCCUUUUGAGAUGUAAAUCUUUUUAAAAACCUCCUGUAGGAUUUACACCCAGAACUCUCCCAAGGACCCAGCUUUGAAAUAUAAUCCCAACAAUAAAAUGUCCUUAACCUCCAGUCUCUGUGGAGGGUGAGAGUUGAACUUCCCUGGGUACCUUGUUCAAAUUGUAAAACUACCUGCUAUUAGGUAGAUAAGGGAAAGUGUGCUUUUCCUUUGUGUAAAGCCAAUUAGCAUGCACACACAGACACACAUACACACACAUGGCCUAAGGCAUAGCAAAGGAGCAUGAAGGGCCUAACCUGACCUUUGUUUCAGCAUAGUUGAGAUCAGACUGAAUCCUCUCCUUUGUUUCUCUUCCUUACUAUAGCAGCUGUGAAUGAAAUCUUUCCUGCCUUUUUAACUAUAUGGUCCAAUUUGCUUUGAUAAUAUCAUAUUACUUUCUACAAAACACCCGCACAUUUUUACAUAAAUUAUUAAACUCACUUCAUUUGAUCUUACCUUGAUUUUUCAAAUUAGAAAAUAGUUAUUGCUAGUUAACAUUAUUUCUUCUUCGUUUCUGUAUCAUUAAUCUUCCUCUUGCAUCCUGUAAAGGUUCUCUAAACCCUGCUGGGGUUGAUAAUUGCAAAGGCUAAGUAAAAUCUUAUUUGCAAAAUUUUGCAAGUGAAAAACUAGUGCCAAGCUAUCUCUUUUUUUUUUUUUUAAAGAGUUUCUCAUCCUCUUCCUUGUUUUUCUUUAAUAAAGUCUACACUAUGUUAGGACUUUCAGAGGUUUAAUUUUGCUCUCUGACUUGGAUGUGAUGUAAAGUGGUAUGAAAUUAGUUGGCCAACAUCUUGAAAGAUUAGUCUGACCACGUUAUGCACAUAAUUAGAACUAAUUGAAUUAGUCCCACUCCUAGCAAAGAAGUAAAAUCAAUAUUAUAAUUAAAACUGCAUUUCUGUAUAAUUGGAUUUUCAAAUGAAACCUGGAAAAGGGGGAGGAAUGGAGAGUGUUGCUUAUGUGUAGAAAUAAUUAAUAUUUGUACUAAGUUUAUAUCUUUAAAAUAAUCCUGUAGGGAUUUGUGACAAUAUCCUGAAUUUCAUUAGCCUGAGUUGAUUGCAGGGGCUCCUCACUCUAAUCCUUAAAGAAGCCAUUCUUACAGACAGAGCUGCCUGGCCAACUGACUCCCUUCUUACCAUCUCGAACAGUUAACCCAAAUUCAGCAUUAUGGUUUUCAGUAACUACUUUAUUGCAUGUGCUUGUUGAAAAGCUUUUCUCAGAUUUUUUUUUCUAGAUCAAAAGUCCUGAACAGGACUGGGCAGCUUACCAGUGGAUCUACUAGUUCUUUCGCUGGAACUCACUGACUUUCCCUCAAGUAGUUUUUGUUACAAUUUCAUAUGUAGAUGAAAUUCCUUUUUAUUUUGUGUGAUGUUAGAAAACACUCACAAUGUAUUUAAGAGUAGUGACUUGAUUGGGCCCACAUUGCGCCACUUCCCAUGGACCCUCUCACUGAACUUAGUGAUUUACAAAGUUGGAUAAAUUAACACUUAUAGAUGUGCUUUCCUAUGUAAGGAAGACUGAGCCCUAGGCUGGGAGGUGAGAGAAAACAGAGAUAAAUUAGACUCAGUUUCAAAAAGUUCUCUUUACUUAGAAUAGCAUGUGUUAUACACACACAAACACACACACACAAUAAAGAACAAGACAACACAGUGUAGGUCCUGUGCCAAAUGAGUGGCUUAGAUCUAUGUGAUAAAGAGGAGACAGAAGACCCCGUUCAAGUCACACACACACACACACACACACAGAAUUUGAUAAUUUUGUUUCCUUGGUAUGUAAAUCACUUAAUCUGUUUAGGCAUUAUGUUUCUCAAUUCUAAUAUGAAAAUGUUGAAUUAGAUUAGGAAGUUCCUUCCUAUUCUGAAAUUCAGUGAGAUUUAGAACAGUGAGAUUAUACUUCGGAAAGGCAGUGCUCACAGAUGGCUACAUGAAGGGAUAGGAAACCUGAACUACAUGCUGAAAGUGUAAGAGGGUGUUACUAGGGGCUGGCGCUGUGGCACAGUGGGUUAAUGCCCUGGCCUAAAGCACUGGCAUCCCAUAUGGGUGCCGGUUCUAGUCCUGGCUGCUCCUCUUCUGAUCCAGCUCUCUGCUAUGGCCUGGGAAAACAGUAGAAGAUGGCCCAAGUCCUUGGGCCCCUGCACCCGCAUUGGAGACCCAGCUCCUGGCUCCUGGCUUCGGAUUGGCCCAGCUCCAGCCAUUGCGUCCAACUGGGGAGUGAACCAAAGGAUGGAAGACCUCUCUCUCUCUCUCUGCCUCUCCUCUCUCUGUAUAACUCUGACUUUCAAAUAAAUAAAUAAAUAAAUAUUUUUUUAAAAAGAGGGUGUUAUUAAAAAAGGGUUAAAAAUCAUGGGCAAAGAUAGAGUCACGGUGUCUGUUUGGUUCACUUCUGUGUCCUCAAGGCUGGCCACAGUACCCAACACACACCAAUCAGUGCAUAAUAGCUCCUUAGUUUCUGAAUAAAUGAAAGCACUGGGAGAUGCUUCACUACUCUCAGAUGGCAGGACAUCUGGAAAACCACAUUCUGUAGAAAUUUAAAUACUCUGAAUACUAGAAAUCGAAUGAACAAAUUUGUAAAAAGAUUUCUUUCUUCAGUGCCUUCUAAUGAGUAAAAGUGAGCAUCUUACAUCUGUAUCCCAAAUUGUUCCAAUUGUCAUGUCAAAAGCUAAUUUUGAAAUGACCAGGGUUAUACUAUUAAUCAAAUGGCAAAAUUCUGGACCAAAUUAUUAAAUUCCUUUGUUGAUGUCAGUUGCUAACAGAGGUUACUUCUCUCAACUUGUUUUAAACUUAACUGCAACAUGUACUUGAGUCCCCCCCCCACCAAUGUUAUUCUGCAAUAUUCUUUACUUGAAUUUUGCAUUUCCACUGCAAUGGUUCAACUACUCAGUCUUAAGACCAAAUUCUUACUUAAAUUAUUAUGAACAUGUUCUGAAAUGUACCUAAUGCCCAGGAAACACUCAAAACCCCAGCCCCUUAUCCUUAUAUUCUUGUUUAUGCUUUAUUUGCUCUUCUGACCAUGUCUUCAGUGUGCUCUUUACCAAUUGUUCCCAGGAUGUGUUUUGAAUACUGGAAGAAGAGAUAGAUUGUUUUGAUUUCUCCUGAGCUUGUUGAAGUUCUGUUGCCAAAAAUAAUAGCAUGCUGAAUGGAAUCUUCGCAUGCAUAAUACACUUCUUGGUAAUAGAUAAAUUGUUUCUCUAUCAUUUUCUCUUUGAAUUUUAUGUUGGAUCAGUUUUUAACUUGGAGACCAUUCUCUUUUGAGUAAUUCUUUUUCAAUGUGUCACACCUUGAGAUUUAUUGCACUAAUACAUCAUCAGAGUGGCAGCUGGCCCUGAUGAUGUAUAGCUUAAUACAUCAUCAAAGCAAUUUCUCAUUCAGGUUACAUAUUACAUAGGAGUGUUAGUGCUUGUAUUUUUAAAAAUAUAAUUUUUAUAUUGCAAUAAAUAAAGUAAGCUUUAAGAAAAUUUCCACAACUAUUAGAUUUGUCCCAAAUCUAGAUGGCAAAUAAAAUUAGCAUUGGGUUCCAAUAAUAACAGCACCAAUUUUUCUCUGCAUAGCUACAAUAUCUUACUUAUAAGCCUUGUUGUUUAAAUAGGAAAUACAUAUCUGGUUAAAAAAAUUAAAAAGUGUAAUAAUACAUACAGCAAAGACUACAUCUUUCUGUCCAAAUAUGACAGCUACCCAAGAACCCUCUGCAGAGGAAAAAAAUAUACCAAGACUUCGAUAGAUAUGUAAGAAUGUAUGUCUAUCUAUGCAUGUAUCAUUGUGUUUUUCCUUUAAGUACAACCUCAGAGGGGCAAACAUACCAUUCUGCAUCUUCCCCCACCCCAGUUAAAAGUAUAAAUAUGAUCUUGCUUCAUGUGGAAACAUAGGAUUGUCUGGUUCUUUUUAGUGAUAACAUAUUUUCAUAUUUCAUAUUUAUUAAAUGUCUGUUUUUUCUAGUAUCUUGCUGCUGUGUGAAGUGCUACAAUAAACAUUCUGUCCAACACCUUGUAUUUUACAAAAUUUGUGUUAUACAGAGUUUCUAGUUUUCUGGAGUGCACAUUAGCAAGAGUGCAGGAAUUGAAAGCUGAGAUUGGACUUGAACUCUGGCAGUCUGAUAUGGGAUAUGCCUGCUGAACCUAAGAGCUCAGAACUCCAUCCAAGUCUCCUCCGUGGUCAACAGAGGUCCAUGACUUAAGCCAUUAUUUGUUGCUUCCCAGGAUUCAUUAGCAGGAAGGUGGAUCAGAAGUGGAACAUCCAGGAUUCCAAUGGGCCUGGUGCCCCAAGCAGUGGCUUAACGGGCUGCAGUAUCCACCCUUAUACAUAAAAUUUAGACAUAAAGGCAUAACCUUAAAAACUCUUUCAUAAGUGAAAUACACUGUCAGUAUAUCUUUGUGUGUGUGUAUGAUGUGUGUGUGUGUGUGUCUGUAUGUCUGGUCAGAGAGGCUCAAAUAUUGCAGUAUAAAGAAUGGAAGUCUUUGCCACCAAUAAUACUUGAAGGAGAGCAGGAAGUUCAAUUUGUGAAUAUGUUGGUAAACUUGUAUCUAGAACAUAAAACUCAACAAAUUUGUCUGUAUAAUGAACUGACCCUCAUACUGAACUCUUGUGCUUACUUCUACCAAUUUAUUUCUGAUUUAUGAGUAUUUUAAAGUCAUAUCCUGGCCUUUUUUAUACUUUCUAACAUGAAAAGUAUUGUUAUGAGUAAAUGAGCAGCAUUUUUGUCAGUUCUGUUCAAACCACAGAUGCUAGGUUUGAUGAGAAAAAGGGGUGGGUGGAGAGAGUCAGGGAGAAAAAUGUUUAGGGGUAAAAAAAUUGCAUGGACAAAUGCUGAGCACAGUACAUAUUACUCCUUUACUGGUAGUUUGUUAAUUGAUCCAUGAGAAGUUUACUGUUUCAUGUCUGCUAUGAGCAUGAUUGGUGAAACCACGUGACUGAGCAGGUGCACUUCUUUCAAUAACCUGUUGCUCUGACUUUUAGUCUGAGCUAUGAAGCGAUUUCUCCUUAUUCUUAAAUGCGAAUGUGCAAUCACUCCUAGACAGAAAAGAAAAUUUAGAGGGUGGUCAGAGAGGCUCAAACCUUGCAGCAAAAUGAAUGGAAGUCAUUGCUACCAGGAAUGCUUGAGAAACAGCAGGAUUUACCAGUAUUCUAAUAAACUGAUAACUAGAACAGAAAACUUCAGCAAAUUUGUUGAUAUAACUAAGUAACCUUUGCACUGAACUAUUGUGCUGAUUCUACCAAUUCAUUUCUAAUUUAUAGGCAUUUUAAAAUUAUAUCCCGGGCCUCUUUUUUUAUACUGUCUAACAUGAAAAAUAUUGUUAAGAUGAAAUGAGUAACAUUUUUCUCAGUUCUGUUCAAACCACAGAUGCUAGGUUUGAUUUUAUUUCUAACAGUGAGAUUGAAAUUCUAUUUUAAUAUGCAGAACGGCAGCCCUGGGAGUCAUAAAAUACGGAGUGUUUUCAUUAGAUGAUGGCCCUGCACCUCUAGUUAACAGGAAAGCUGAUUCAUCAAACAGCAGCCAUCAAGACAGCAUUAACUAAGACCUGGAAUGAAAACACGAGAUUGGGGUGAAAAUUACCUGUUUUGCAUCAUGUAAUUGUAACUUUGGAGAAAUUCCUAGUUUGUGGCAUAAAACUGUUUCUAGGGAUGCAGGAGUACUAGCUGUAAAUUUGCUGCAGAUGGUCUAGAGAUUGAACAUUUUCUACAUUUCAAAGGUAUCUUAAAUUUUAUAUCAGCUGCCACUAAUUUAACGGAAUGAACAUUCACCUCUAUGCUCUUUUCUCCCCACCAGGAAAAGAAAUAAUCAGAACUAAUUCUGCAUUUAAAUUGGCCUCUCAAAUAUUUACAUACACAAUAUAAAACAUUGGAAUUCAGAGCCAUUUUACUCUACUGAAUUGACAGUUUAGAUAUUCUAUCUGCCAGCCAAAAUGUCCCCAAUGACUUCAAGCAAUGAAUUUAGAUAGUUUUUUUCUGAUCAUUUAAUUGAUCACAGAUAAAGGGGUAGCUUUCUCUCUUCUAAUGAAGUAUAACACACUCUAUUCAAAGCAAAAUGUGUAACAAAAAUAAAAAUAAGAAAAAAAUUACAAUAUAAAUGUAGUCAUCACAGUUUAUAAUAAAAUACUAAAUAUGGAAGAAACUUCAAAGAUCAUUCAUUUCAGUAUUUUCAAGCUAUUCCAUGGAGUUGUUGUGGGGGCUGCUUUUGAAGGGGUGAGGAAUAGACGAGGAGAUGGACAUACAUGAGGCAACUUCUGACCUCCAGCUCUCCCCUUCAGUUUCAGUCAAGUCACUUUCAUUUUACCCAUUUAAUCUGUUUGGAAAAUUUUUGUAACUGUUAAAGAAUAUUUGAAAACUACAUCCAUCCUGGUCAAAUUACCAAUGAACUAAAACCUUGUGACCAAGUAGUAAAGCGAAGACUAGAACCCAGUUAUGAGAUUCCUAAAACAGUGUUUUGUUUUUUGUUUUAAAACAUAUUAAGACAUUGGAUCAUUACAGUGGGCUUACUGUGUUCCAAUGAGAUGCAGAGCUUUUGCACACUAAUGAGCUGAUGUUAACUUUAAAAGUCAAGCCUGAAGAGCUAUCUAUAUACAGGGUAUCCAUGAAACGUUUUCUGAGCAUAUUGCACUUUUUAAAAUACUCUAAACUUAUAUGGGAAAAACAAUAUUAACUAAAAUGGGAAUCAAAUUUCACACUGUGGAUAGAAUUCAAAAUAACUUCUUAAAUGUAUGAUUAGACAAUGAAAAUUAUCCAAUGUUAUGAACUAAGUAAAAAAAUCUGAGAGAAGCAAAUAUUAAUGCUCAAU